CGCAAAUUACCCAAUCCUGACUCAGGGAGGUAGUGACAAGAAAUAACAACACUGGAAAUUCUUUUUCUAGUGAUUGGAAUGAUGGGAAUCCAAACCCCUUUCAGAGUAACAAUUGGAGGGCAAGUCUGGUGCCAGCAGCCGCGGUAAUUCCAGCUCCAAUAGCGUAUAUUAAAGUUGUUGCAGUUAAAAAGCUCGUAGUUGGAUAUCUGCUGGAAGCAGCCAGUCCGCCCUUUGUGGGUGUGCACUUGGUGAAUUCUGGCAUCCUCCUGAUUGGUGUCAUCAUCACUUCAUUGUGUUGGUGGCAGCUGUCAGGACCGUUACUUUGAGAAAAUUAGAGUGUUUCAAGCAGGCUUGUUGCCUUGAAUACUGCAGCAUGGAAUAACAAGAUAGGAUUUCGGUUCUAUUUUGUUGGUUUCUAGGACUGAAGUAAUGAUUAAUAGGGACAGUUGGGGGCAUUCGUAUUUAACUGUCAGAGGUGAAAUUCUUAGAUUUGUUAAAGACGAACUACUGCGAAAGCAUUUGCCAAAGAUGUUUUCAUUAAUCAAGAACGAAAGUUAGGGGCUCGAAGACGAU
rnacentral:rRNA from 2 species